GCCCAUCAAAAGGAGUGAAUCUGUAAAAGGGCAGUUGGCCUUCGCCUAUUGAAGGAAGGCCUCUAGUUGACGUCGGUGACCUCGUCGGUGGAGGAAGCCAAAAGUGGAGUAGGUCAAGACUGACCGAACCACUCUAAAUCUCUGGUUUGCGUUUAUUUUGAGCACUUUAUCAUUACUGCAAACCUCCUACAUAGCUACUGCUCUCUGCGCCUUUACGAACAAGUUUCUAAGUGCUGAUCUUUCCGAAUCUGCAUUCAGACGUAAAUCGGUGUUUUCAUUCAUUACAGUUUACGUUUAUGUUUUGAUUCUGCAAAACUGUCUUCUGCGCUUUUACGAACGAAGUUUCUAAGUUUAGAUUCCUUUAAAACUG
rnacentral:lncRNA from 1 species